GUUAUAUGGUCAAGUGAAGAAGCGCAUACGGUGGAUGCCUUGGCAGUCAGAGGCGAUGAAAGACGUGAUAGCCUGCGAUAAGCUUCGGUGAGGUGGCAAAUGACCUGUGACCCGGAGAUCUCUGAAUGGGGAAACCCACCUAGCAUAAGCUAGGUAUCUUAACCUGAAUCCAUAGGGUUAAGAGG
rnacentral:rRNA from 1 species